rnacentral:rRNA from 1 species
UACGAAGGGAGCUAGCGUUGUUCGGAAUCACUGGGCGUAAAGCGCACGUAGGCGGAUGUGUCAGUCAGGGGGUGAAAUCCCGGAGCUCAACUUCGGAACUGCCUUUGAUACAGCACGUCUUGAGUCCGAUAGAGGUGGGUGGAAUUCCUAGUGUAGAGGUGAAAUUCGUAGAUAUUAGGAAGAACACCGGUGGCGAAGGCGGCCCACUGGAUCGGUACUGACGCUGAGGUGCGAAAGCGUGGGGAGCAAACAGG